rnacentral:rRNA from 1 species
GACGAACGCUGGCGGCGUGCUUAACACAUGCAAGUCGAACGGAAAGGCCCUGCUUUUGUGGGGUGCUCGAGUGGCGAACGGGUGAGUAACACGUGAGUAACCUGCCCUUGACUUUGGGAUAACUUCAGGAAACUGGGGCUAAUACCGGAUAGGAGCUCCUGCUGCAUGGUGGGGGUUGGAAAGUUUCGGCGGUUGGGGAUGGACUCGCGGCUUAUCAGCUUGUUGGUGGGGUAGUGGCUGACCAAGGCUUUGACGGGUAGCCGGCCUGAGAGGGUGACAGGCCACAUUGGGACUGAGAUACGGCCCAGACUCCUACGGGAGGCAGCAGUGGGGAAUAUUGCACAAUGGGCGGAAGCCUGAUGCAGCAACGCCGCGUGCGGGAUGACGGCCUUCGGGUUGUAAACCGCUUUCGCCUGUGACGAAGCGUGAGUGACGGUAAUGGGUAAAGAAGCACCGGCUAACUACGUG